rnacentral:rRNA from 1 species
GUGCUCGCAAGAGAACCGGAACACAGGUGCUGCAUGGCUGUCGUCAGCUCGUGUCGUGAGAUGUUGGGUUAAGUCCCGCAACGAGCGCAACCCUUGUCAUUAGUUGCUACGAAAGGGCAUUUGAGUGAGACUGCCGGUGACAAACCGGAGGAAGGUGGGGAUGACGUCAAGUCCUCAUGGCCCUUAUGGGUAGGGCUUCACACGUCAUACAAUGGUCGGGACAGAGGGUCGCCAACCCGCGAGGGGGAGCCAAUCCCAGAAACCCGAUCGUAGUCCGGAUCGCAGUCUGCAACUCGACUGCGUGAAGUCGGAAUCGCUAGUAAUCGCGGAUCAGCAUGUCGCGGUGAAUACGUUCCCGGGUCUUGUACACACCGCCCGUCACACCAUGGGAGUGGGUUUUACCAGAAGUAGUUAGCCUAACCGCAAGGAGGGCGAUACCCAUC